CGCAUCUGUGCAUGCAGCAUAUCAAUAAGCGGAGGAAAAGAAACUAACAAGGAUUCCCCUAGUAACGGCGAGUGAAGCGGGAAGAGCUCAAAUUUGAAAUCUUAAAGGGUUUCCCUUUACGAAUUGUAGUUUAAAGAAGUGUUUUCUGUUGAGGUUUUGGUAAAAGUUCUUUGGAAUAGGACAUCAUAGAGGGUGAGAAUCCCGUAUUUGACCUUUACUUUCAACUUUGUGAUACACUUUCAAAGAGUCAGAUUGUUUGGGAAUGCAGUCCAAAAUGGGUGGUAAAUUUCAUCUAAAGCUAAAUAUUGGCGAGAGACCGAUAGCGAACAAGUACCGUGAGGGAAAGAUGAAAAGAACUUUGAAAAGAGAGUUAAACAGUACGUGAAAUUGUCAAAAGGGAAGCGUUUGACACCAGUGUUGUUUUUCUGAAAAUCAAUUAAAGAACUGUUUAUGCUAAGUUGUUUAGACUUUAUCAGCUAACUGUUUAGUUUUGAGCUUUUCUUUAAUGCACUUUUCAGUUAACAAGUCAACAUCAAUUUCUUUUGCUGUAAAAAAGCUUGAGGAAGGUGGCUUGAGAUUCGUCUUAAGUGUUUAUAGCCUCUUGCCUAUGCAGUCGGAGAGAUUGAGGUCUGCAGCGUAGAUCCUUCGGGGCUAAAUGCAUUUGUGCUAAGUUAUAACAUUUUAUAGACAACUUGUUGACUAUGAUUUGUCUUGUAGCUUACUCGCUUAUGUUAUUUUACCUACGCUUAGGAUGUUGAGCGCAUGUCUCUCUCU
rnacentral:rRNA from 1 species